rnacentral:rRNA from 1 species
GACGAACGCUGGCGGCGUGCUUAACACAUGCAAGUCGAACGGAAAGGCCCUGCUUUUGUGGGGUGCUCGAGUGGCGAACGGGUGAGUAACACGUGAGUAACCUGCCCUUGACUUUGGGAUAACUUCAGGAAACUGGGGCUAAUACCGUAUAGGAGCUCCUGCUGCAUGGUGGGGGUGGGAAAGUUUCGGCGGUCGGGGCUGGACUCGCGGCUUAUCAGCUUGUUGGUUGGGUAGUGGCUUACCAAGGCUUUGAAGGGUAGCCGGCCUGAGAGGGUGACCAGCGACAAGAGGACUGCGGGACGGCGCAGUCGGCUACGGUAGGCAGCGGUGGGGAAUAUGGCACAGUGGGCCGAAGCCAGUUGCGACGACGCCGGGUGCGGGAUGACGGCCUUCGGGUUGUGAACAGCUUUCGCCUAUGACGAAGCGGGAGUGACGGUAAUGGAUAAAGAAGCACCGGCUAACUACGUG